UAUUUACUUACUACUCGAUAAUUAGAACAAAAUAUGACUCUAUAUGAAUGCCUCCGGUGGUGUACUCGGAUGUGCAAUGAUCUAGCGUAGCAAUGACAUCAAAAAACGGACAAGACAUAAAAACAUCAUGCAAAGCAAUAUGACAAUGAUGGUGCGUGUCAUAAUAAAUGGAACGAUGGAAGUUGCAUGUCAAUAUAUCUCGGAAUGGCUAUGGAAAUGCCAUAAUAGGUAGGUAUGGUGGCUGUUUUGAGGAAGGGUAUAUGGCGGGUGUAAUGCACCGGUGAAAGUUGUGCGGUACUAGAGAGGCUAGCAAUGGUGGAAGGGUGAGCGUGCGUAUAAUCUAUGGACUCAACAUUAGUCAUAAAUAACUCACAUACUUAUUGCAAAAGUCUAUUAGUCAUUGAAACAAGGUACUACACGCUUGCUCCUAGGGGAAGGGUUGGUAGGAGUUAACCAUCGCGCGAUCCCGACUUCCACACAAAGGAUGACAAUCAAUAAAUAAAUCAUGCUCCGAC
rnacentral:lncRNA from 1 species